rnacentral:rRNA from 1 species
UACGUAGGGGGCUAGCGUUGUCCGGAAUCAUUGGGCGUAAAGCGCGUGUAGGCGGCCCGGUAAGUCCGCUGUGAAAGUCGGGGGCUCAACCCUCGGAUGCCGGUGGAUACUGUCGGGCUAGAGUCCGGAAGAGGCGAGUGGAAUUCCCGGUGUAGCGGUGAAAUGCGCAGAUAUCGGGAGGAACACCAAUGGCGAAGGCAGCUCGCUGGGACGGUACUGACGCUGAGACGCGAAAGCGUGGGGAGCAAACAGG